UGGGGAAUAUUGGACAAUGGGGGCAACCCUGAUCCAGCAAUGCCGCGUGUGUGAAGAAGGUCUUCGGAUUGUAAAGCACUUUCGACGGGGACGAUGAUGACGGUACCCGUAGAAGAAGCCCCGGCUAACUUCGUGCCAGCAGCCGCGGUAAUACGAAGGGGGCUAGCGUUGCUCGGAAUGACUGGGCGUAAAGGGCGUGUAGGCGGUUUACACAGUCAGAUGUGAAAUCCCCGGGCUUAACCUGGGAGCUGCAUUUGAUACGUGUAGACUAGAGUGUGAGAGAGGGUUGUGGAAUUCCCAGUGUAGAGGUGAAAUUCGUAGAUAUUGGGAAGAACACCGGUGGCGAAGGCGGCAACCUGGCUCAUGACUGACGCUGAGGCGCGAAAGCGUGGGGAGCAAACAGGUUAGAUACCCUGGUAGUCCACGCCUGUAAACGAUGUGUGCUAGAUGUUGG
rnacentral:rRNA from 1 species